GAUGAGACCAUGACCCAGAGGCAGAGCAUCUGCUUUGCAUGCAGAAGGUCCCAGAUUCAAAUUCUGGUUUUUUCC
rnacentral:tRNA from 1 species